rnacentral:misc_RNA from 1 species
AGACAAUUCACCAUAUAAGAAGAGUAGUAGCUCCAAGGUUUUUACAACAUUCAGUCAGUGUUAUAAUUUUUUUCAUUUUUGGUAGUAGUUGAAUUCUGUGUGAUUGUUAAGACCAGAGUGAUUAAGUAACCAACCAACCAGCCAAUAAACUAACUAACUAACCAACCUACUAAACUAAAGCAAUAAAUCAAAAUAUUUAGUGCAAAUUUUCUUCUUUUUUGUGUGUGUAUGUGAUUUAAACAAGAGAAAAUAAAAUUAAUAAAACAAAUUGUUCUAAAAUCAUAAUGUAAAAAAUAAGUAAUAUUUAAACCGACGAAGAAAAAGAUAUAGAAAAUAGAGAAUACUACCUUUAAGUUGAUAAAUCAAUCAUCGUGUACACUGUAUAUGACAAAUAAUACUCAUCUUAUAAACAUUCUAAUUAAUUAUUAAUUAAAUAAUUACAUAGUUUAAAAACAAUUAGGUUUUCUAUAUAACUUUUCUAAAACCAAGUGAAACAAAGUUUUAAAAGAACUAAAGAACGGCUACAAAAAAUGGCUUCAGGUGAUGGUAUUAGCACCAUAGAUCCGGAUGUUUCCUCUACAUCUAAUACAAAAGUUACCGAAGAUGCUUUGGACUUAUCUAUAUCCGAUUCCCAAAGUAAGCAACGCAGUAAGACCGAUAAGGAAAGAAAAAUCGGUCAUAGGCGUGUGGGAGAAGGUGGUGAGAUUACGUAUAAGAAAAUACAAACAUCACAAAUUAUGGGUUCUAUACAAUUGGGUAUACAGCAUACGGUUGGUAGUUUAGCAUCAAAACCAAAACGUGAUUUACUUAUGAUGGACUUUUGGGAAAUUGAAAGUAUAACCUUUCCUCCUGAAGGUUCUAGCCUUACGCCUGCCCACCAUUAUAGUGAAUUCAGAUAUAAAAUAUAUGCGCCUAUUGCAUUUCGUUAUUUUAGAGACUUGUUUGGCAUACAGCCGGACGAUUUUAUGAUGUCGAUGUGUUCAUCACCUUUAAGAGAACUAUCGAAUCCGGGUGCUUCCGGUUCCAUAUUUUAUCUAACACAUGAUGAUGAGUUUAUAAUUAAAACAGUUCAGCACAAAGAGGGUGAAUUUUUGCAAAAACUACUACCAGGUUAUUAUAUGAAUUUAAAUCAAAAUCCUCGUACCCUUUUGCCGAAAUUCUUCGGUUUAUAUUGUUUGCAAACAAGUAAUGCCAAAAAUAUUCGUUUGGUUGUUAUGAACAAUUUGCUGCCUUCAUAUGUAAAGAUGCAUCUAAAAUAUGAUCUCAAGGGUUCCACUUUCAAGCGUAAAGCAAAUAAGGCUGAACGAUCCAAAAAAUCACCCACAUUUAAGGAUUUGGAUUUUAUGGAACAUCAUCCAAAUGGCAUACUCCUGGAAGCUGAAACAUAUUCGGCUUUAAUUAAGACCAUACAAAGAGAUUGCACAGUUUUGGAGUCAUUUAAAAUCAUGGACUAUUCGCUGCUAGUCGGUGUACACAAUUUAGAUUUGGCUUCGAAGGAGAAGCAAAAGACCCGUAAGCCACGUAAGGCCUCGCAGUCGGAUUAUUCAGACACCGAAGAGGCGGCCAGAGCAAAUGAUCCUGAAUACGAUAAUCAGGCUGAAGAAACUCAAAGCAAUAUAAAUCGCAAUAGUUUGGCCUAUAGGUCCAAUCGCCAACGUUUAGUGGCUCAUUCUACGGCCAUGGAAAGUAUACAGGCGGAAAGUGAACCCAUCGAUGAUGAAGAGGACAUGCCUCCUGGAGGUAUACCUGCACGCAGUGAAAAAGGUGAAAGACUCUUACUUUUUAUAGGUAUUAUCGAUAUUUUACAAUCAUAUCGACUGAAGAAAAAAUUAGAGCACACUUUUAAAAGUAUUAUACAUGAUGGGGAUACGGUCUCGGUGUGUCGUCCUUCAUUUUAUGCUCAAAGAUUUCAAAAUUUCAUGGCCAAAACUGUAUUUCGUAAAAUACCAUCUCUGGAUCUCCCCGAGAUCAAAGGAAAUCAUAGAAAAUUUCGUACUUUGGUAUCCAGUUACAUAGCUCUUAAACAUUCACCCUCGAAAAGAAAAAGUCUCUCGAAAGCAAUACAACGUUCCAUAGACAGUGAAAACGAGCAAAGAGAACAUAGUCAAAGUCAUGCCCACGCCACAGCGGUACAUGCCAAUAAAAAAUCACAUGCUUCGAAUAAAGCGAUGAGUGCACAUACGACUGGCGAUGAAAGGAGUUCCGGGCAUGCGGCCUCUUCAAGUUCGUCUGUAUUGAAAACUAUACAAGCUCCACCGGUAAAACAACGUUCGGCUGCUGCUGCUAGUAGUGGCUCAACACUUAAAGCCAAAGUUCCACCUCCAGUACCGCCAAGAGGAUCACCACGUAAACGUGAUAGUGAUGCUUAUCAACAACAGGAAGGCGGCUCUUCAAGAGCUCUCUCCACCACUCCAGGCACAACGCCAUCUUGCAGUUCGACACCACCCCCUGCCUUUGAUGACAUUUCCGAGGACAAUAGUUAUAAUAAACAUAGUUCCUCAACGAUUUCAAGGCGAUCUCAUCAACAGCAACAUCACCAUCAUCAUCAGCACCACCACCACCAUCACCAAAAGUCGCAUCAACAAAACGAAACAUCAACAUCGUCUUCGUCGUAUCAUGAUCGUAAAAUGAAUGUGGGUCCUGCCUAUCGCAGUUCAUCGUCUUCGCAAAAAGAUGAUAUGGUCAGCCGUAGAUACAUCAUCGAGUAGUCACUAUGGUUCGAGGGGCGGCUUAGCCUGGACACCACCAGCGUCUGGUGAAGGUUCAACACCCACCUGGACCGAGGGUACACCAAGUUUUACCGAUUCCAGUUCAAGUGGCGAUUUUGACAAUAAUUCAUUAAUUUCAGAACAUUUCUCUCCAAUAAAUUCAUCGAAAAUGGAUCGUUAUAAGCCAACUGUUGAAGAUGCCAUUAACUCUCUAUCAGCGGAAAUAGUUAAUGAUCGCCAUUGAAAUUUUUUCAAAU